rnacentral:rRNA from 1 species
CUCAAAGAUUAAGCCAUGCAUGUCUAAGUAUAAGCAAUUACAAAGCGAAACUGCGAAUGGCUCAUUAUAUAAGUUAUCGUUUAUUUGAUAGUACCUUACUACAUGGAUAACCGUGGUAAUUCUAGAGCUAAUACAUGCUGAAAAUCCCGACUUCGGAAGGGAUGUAUUUAUUAGAUACAAAACCAAUGCCCUUCGGGGCUCUCUUGGUGAUUCAUGAUAACUUCUCGAAUCGCACGGCCCCGCGCCGGCGAUGGUUCAUUCAAAUUUCUUCCCUAUCAACUUUCGAUGCUACGGUAUUGUCCUAGCAUGGUUGCAACGGGUGACGGAGGGUUAGGGCUCGACCCCGGAGAAGGAGCCUGAGAAACGGCUACUACAUCCAAGGAAGGCAGCAGGCGCGCAAAUUACCCAAUCCCGACUCGGGGAGGUAGUGACGAUAAAUACCGAUACAGGGCUCUUUUGGGUCCUGUAAUUGGAAUGAGUACAAUUCAAAUCCCUUAACGAGGAACAAUUGGAGGGCAAGUCUGGUGCCACACCC